rnacentral:ncRNA from 1 species
ACGUCCUGCCUCGUGAUCGUCUUCUCACCCUUCGCGCGGGCAGGCGGAUGAACGGAAGACCCCGCGAGGACGUGACUCGCGGGGUCUUCCC